rnacentral:lncRNA from 1 species
CUUUGGGUCGCCAAUAGAAAAUGACAGAAAUGGUCAUCUAGAGGACCCAGGACUCUCCCACCCAGCCAGGAUAAUUGGGUUCCUUAGUAAAGCCCAAGGCUAGACCACUCCCUAACCUGAUAUGCAUCCCUGAGGCAUUAUCCUGAGCAGCCACUAGAUGUCCAUAAUGCCUCAUAGGGUGUUCCAGGAGUGAGCUGGGUAUCGUUUUGCCACCAAAUAGGCUUUGCGGACUCUUUUAAGGGUAGGUCCAUCAGUGGCAGGAACAGAACAGGAGCAAAGACAUAAAAGGAAUUUGGGAAACUAGAAAGAAAAAAGUAGUAUGGAAAUUGCCCUCCACAAAGGGAAGGAAAGAUAUCAAUUGGUGAAUCAGUAAUAAUAAAAAGUAGGAAUGGUCUACAUGGAAAUAGUCACUGCCUUCUUUCCAAGGUAAUGAACACAUUUGUGUGUGUGUGUGUGUGUGUGUGUGUGUGUGUGUGUGUGUGUGUGUGUCUUAGUUCCACCCACGUGUGCAAACACCUAUCAGGGACAACUAGCCAUGAAUUUUCUGUUUAAUAAGUAAAAUCAGAAUUGCAAAGGGAAGGUUAUUUUUCUUGCCUGUGAUCCCAUAGUGAGGCUGGCUGUGCCAUUACUACCCACAGUCAUAAAGGGAAUGGAUUUUAUUCCUGGAGCCUGAUGAUUCAAGGCAAGACAGCUGUUCUAGAGUUACCCACUCUUCUGAGUGUGCUUUGAAUCCACUGUUCUUUUCCCCCAAGGACUCAGCUCUUUAAGGAAGUCAGAAGGGAGUGGACAAUAAAGGAUAAAAAAGCAUUCUCCCUCCAGGUCGCAUCAAGAGCAAUUUUUAAAAACCUUGGCUAAGAAAAGACACAGUGCUUAGUACAAACGGUAAAGGGAUAGAAUGGAGAGGCCUUUCCCUCUCCUCUAAGACUAAGUUUCUAGGGCUUACAGUUUCUUUGUGGGCUGUCAGGCUCGAGUGAUGGGGAAAACCUCCCAGCUAGCACUCUGCCUCCUCUUUUGGAAUAGUUUGCAUGUGGUCUAGCCACAGUCACUUACAUGUUCAAAUUGAAAAGAGAGGUUCAGCCAGGAGCCCUGAAAAUGCACUUCUGUAGGUACACUGGCCCAUUCCAGGCCCUUGUGGCUUUUCCUCUUUAAUUGCCUGUGUAUAGCAGUAAUAAUGGUUUUAAUAGCAACAUUUACUGCAGCGUUGAUAGGUACUUGGUACUGUGUUAAGUUACACAUAUUUACUCCUCACAACAGCUCUGUGAGAUGGGUACCAUCGGAUUUCCCCAUUUUGCAGAUGAAUUUAAGAAGUGUUCUCAGGAUCACAGAACUGACUACUAAUGAGUGAUUAAAUUUGUUUCUUGAGGCUGCCAUAACAAAUCACCACAUAGUUGGUGAUUUAAAGCAGAAAUAUAUUCUCUCACAGUUCUGGAGGCUAAAAGUUCAAAAUCUGGCAGGGUGCACUCCCUCCAGAGGCCCUAGGGGAGAAUCAUUCCUUGCCUCUUGCCCCUGCCAGCUUCUGGUGGCUGUCAGCCUUCCUUGAUUUAUAGCUGUAUCACUUCAGUCUCUGCCUCCAUGGCCACAUUGCCUUCUCCUUUUCUGUCUGCCUCUCUCCUCUUUGUGACUUAUAAGGACACCUGUCAUUGGAUUUAGGGCCUACCUGGAUAAUCCAGGAUGAUCUCCUUAUCUCAAGAUCCUUAAUUUAAAUGGGUCUUUGCAGACAUCAUUUCAAAUUCCCGUCACAGGGUUCUGGGAAUGAGGAUGUACCCCUAUUUUUCUAGGGGCUCAUUCAGCCCAUUGCAGUGAUAGAGCCAGGUUUCAGUGUCAGUACAGGGCCCAAACUCAACCACUGUGAUGCUGUGAUGUGCUAUUUAACAUGAAGGGGAAAGGGACAAUGCAUCUGACAACCAGCAGGUGACUCUUCCCUAUACCUGUGCCUGUGAAGGGUAGGGGAGCCAAGCAGGAGCUGUGUGGCUGUUGGGUCUUCCCACUGGGAAGGGAGAGAGUCUCUCAAUCAGGAAGCAUCACAUGAGCCAAGAGAAGGGGGCAGGCUGACAAGACACACUCAGGAAAAAUCUGUCUCUUAUUUUCUGUUUCUGAUUCCAUUCUUAAUGAUUUUCUCACUUUCUCUUUACAUUGUCUCUAGAUUUUAUCCCAAAGAUAUUGGAACACUUAAGCGUUUACCAGUAGUAACACCAAAAGUACCUCCUGGCAUUGCCACCAAAUUUGGCUCCACUGUAUCUAAGUCUUAGAGAUUUUGAGCUUCAUGUUCGUUGGAGAUUAAGGGAUACCUCCAGAUCAGGGCCAGCAGGUGCAGAUGUGGAACUGAGAGCUAUGAAUAGAGUGGCUUUUCAGGUAUCUGAAACAUAAAUGUGAUCAUUAAUCCAUGCCUAUGCUUACAAUUAGCCUCUUCACAGACACACAGUGUAUGCUUAAAAUUAUUCAGAUUUUGGUUGGAGAAAACCCAAAACAAUAUUUUUUCCCAAAUGGACUAAUACAAAAUUUGCCACAUAAGAGCACAUGCAUGUCUGUGUGUGUGGAUGCUAGUGGGCAUUAUGGUGUACUGGUGGAUGCAAAGCAUCUCUGGAGUCAGACAGACCUGAGUUUAAACCCCAGUUCUGCCUCUUACAUACCGCGUAUAUAUAGGUUAGUUGUUUAAGCCCCAGAUUCUUCACGUGUAAAUAUUGUUGAACUAGAAGCAAGUAAAGGAAAUCACAAUCUCAGCAAAUAGUAAUGGUCGUAGCGUCUAUUAUUUUCUAAUAUGGAAACCGGUAUAGAAGAGGCUGUCUUGUUCAAAGUCAGUUAUUGAGGGGAUUCUUUUCUUCUAGAUACCUGCUCUUGUUAUUGCACCUAAUUUAUAACUUUCAAUUCUUCAUUUAAGGUAUGAGAUGUUUUUCAUUGUUUGUUUUUAACAGUUACUGGGUUGGGGUUUUUUUUUUUUUUUUUUUUUUUGAGGUAAUUUUAGACUUAUAGACAGGUCAAAAAUAGUACUGAGUUCCCAUAUGUGCUUCACCCAGCUUUCUCUUAUGUGAGUUAAUAUCUUACAUAACCACAGAACAUUUAUUCAAAACUAAGAAAUUAAUCUAUUCAAGACAUAGAUUUUUACACUUGCCCUCUACAGUCUCUUCUCCAUAGCAACCAAAGUGAUCUUUGUGACAGUAGAUCAGAUUAUGUUAUUGAUUUGCUUAAAAUGCCCCAGUGUCUUCCUCUCAUAGUUUGAAUAACAACCAUACUGCUUCCCAUGGCCCACAGGCCCUAAGCCUACAUCCCUGCCUGCACCUCUGCCCUCAGGUUUUAUCGUCUUCCUCCUCAUUCCCUGCCCUUCAGCUACACUGAAUUUCUUUUCCUGGAAUACUCUUACAUGGUUCUCCCCAUUAAGGCCUUUACUCUCCCCACAACCUAAAAUGUUCCCCCAUAUCUUCAGGUGGCUGUCCUGUCCAGAGUAGCCCCACUCAUCACAGUCAUAUCACCCAGCUUUAUUUUUCUCAUUUUAUUUUCCAUUAUCUGAAAUUGUCUUGUUUAUGGGCUGUCUAUUGUGCAUCCCCACAAGAGCAGAGGCCUCUGCAUCUUGUUUCCAAUACUUAGACCUAGCAGUGAGUUUAUUAUUUCAGAGGGAUGAGGACUGUUUUUGAUAUCCCACGUGGUAAGAGCUCAGGCCUUCCUAAUUUUAUCGAUAGCCCUAGCCCUACCCUGCUCUACUUACAUUCUUUGAAGAAGCAGGUGAGAAAUUACUAGCCUGAUUUUUUUUUUUUUUAAUACUGGAAAAAUGAAGGAGAAUCCUAGUGACCUUAAGGUGUCUCCAGUUCUCAAUUUUUAGAAUUCCUAGCCCCUUGCUGACAGAUUUAUGAAGGAGAGUUUUAUGGAGGUAUCAUAAAGGCUCACGGGUUCUUGGCAGUUGUGAAUAUGUGAGGAGUGAGCAUAGGUGCACAAAUACACAUUAUCUGUGCUCAUGUACACAUAAGCCUGUCAUUUUCAAAUUGGCUAAAGUGCAUUUUCUCCAAAGGGAGUGGGGCUGUUGAGCCUGAAAUAGGGAGCAGCAGUAAAGGGCGCCCCAUUACCUCGCUUUAUGGAGAGCUGGGUAAAUUUAAAGGCAGCUAUAAAUAUCCCACUGAGUGCCGGAGCUAUAGCACAGUCGGCGCAGCAUUUUGGGAGUCCAAGGUGGGGGAAUCGCUUGAGCCUGGGAGGAGGAGGUUGCAGUGACCUGAGAUUGCACCACUCACUCCAACUCUGGUCAUCAAACAGAGCAAGGUCCUAUCUUUAAAAAAAAAAAAAAAAAAAAAAAAGACAUGGUUUAACACCUAAAAAAAAAAAAAGUGACAUGGUAAGACCUUUCUCCUGGGAAUAUUCUAGAGCCCCUUAACUGAGCAACUCUGUGCUCCAGAGAAAAUUUUAGCAUCUGUAAAGUGGCAACAAAAUGGGAACAUACUUUUUAUACUUAUCCUACAGAAUUUCUGACUAAAUUAAAGAUUUUUACUCAGUUUGGAACUUUCUCCAUGUUUUUAAUCUAUUCAAUUUGGCUUGAAACCUAUUAUGUCCUUUUCUGGGGUUUCUUCUUGUAUCUCUUCCAUGGCCUCCAAGCCGUUCUAAUCCCUUGGUUUGUAGAGUGGUGCCACAUUGGCGCUGCCUCCUCUCUACCAGCUUUCUUGAUCUGUUGUUCGUUUUCUUUAAACAUCAGCAUCUGUGGCCAUCAAGCUGCCUUGCACAGUUUGCUAAUUGUUUUCAAUUGUAUGCCUCCAGCUUGAGCUAUGGUUAGGAUUUUCCUGUUCUAGUAGUCCACUCAGUACUGGCCUAGUAACGUGAGUUCCUUGGCAAGUUCAUUUGUCUCAUCUACGGAGUUCCAGGGAGAGAAUUAAGGGACCCAUAAUGGAAAUGUGGGCUUGAACUUUGUCUCUCUGUAGCUGGUACUCUUCAUCCCACCCCUUCCCAUCUUUGAGCAAAAGGACAAGCACUUUACCUUAAGAGUGGAGGGGGCCCCGGUGCAGGGGCUUCUGUCUAUAAUCCUAGCACUACAGGAGGUCGAGGAUGCAGGAUCGCUUAAGCCCAGGAGUUUGAGAUUAGCCUGGGCAAUAUAAUGAGACCCCCCAUCUCUAAAAUAAUAAUAAUAACAAUUUAAAAAAUAAGAGGUGGAGGGCAGCGCAGCAUUGGGAACACCAGGAAACCAGCCCAGCGCCCACACCACUGGCUUCCCCAUGAGUCAUCAAACAACCA